CGGACUUUUUGGUUGGGUGCUUGUACAGAAGACGAUUCCUUUCCGACCGGGGACGAGAAAGGAAAGAAAAAAACCUCAGACGACCCAGAAUUGUGUUGUUGGAGACACCCAGGAGCUAGAAAAAGGGGGCCGACGAUAUCACUGUCGGAGCAGUGCACAGACAACAAAAAGACAAGCUUUGGAGCUUAUAACUGGUCGUCCAGCUUUGAAUUAUCUUCAGCAAAGCCUUGUUAUUUGGGCAAGGCCCCUGCUUAAAGCAAACGACCUCAAGGAGCUUGUUAAUCCUUAUAUUGGUAUUGGUGACAACUAUGACAGCACAGAGCUGGAUCAUAUGGUGUGGACUGCAUCUUUAUGCAUAGAACAGUCUCCUAUUCUACAUCCUGUCAUGAGUCAGGUUGAGGUACUGGAGGUGACGAGUAUGUCUCCAAGUGUGCCAAAGAAAUGAAAAGGAGGUCCUUGCAGAGGACAUACUAAGAAGAAUGUUGGAUGCACAAGCAUAUAACCCAACAAACUAUCCGAGGGAUCUCAACCGACACAAGCAGAUUGCUUUUGGCUCUUGAAAACAGAUUAAUGGGAUUUUCCAGACACAACUCUUAGUUCAUUUUUCUGGUGUGCUUGCAAAUCCCAUAUGGAAAGGCACUCAUCUUUUAAUCAUAUCUGGGAUGUAGAAGCUGACAUGAUCAGAGUAUGUUUUGUGUAUACUGUGGCCGCGAAACACUUCAUGGUAAACCAGGGAUAUCUGAGAGCCAGGAUUUCGAAUCCCAUGUAAUGUGCAAAGUUUCUCAUUACCGUUGGCUUAGAUGAUGAUGAUCAACGCAUUGAGGUUGAUUUUUCAGCUUGGUAUGCUUUAAUCUUAUUAUCAGUCUCUUCAUUGAUUGCGCUUUAAGGCUGCAGUAACUGUAAUGUUUUUGUUCUUCUUCAAGCUUGUGCAUGUCCUGCAUCUUCCAGAGUUACUACAUUUUCGCAGAGUUGGUGCUGUUUUAGUUUUUGUUUUUCCCUUCUUCUCCCAAGAUUUUUUUUUUCCUUCUUUUACUAAAGUUUGUGAUUCCCCCCUCCUUUCCUCCUUUCUCUCCUCUCACUUCCUCCUCCUUUACGAGUUAAUGUUGCUGUUCAGAAAGAGCUUCGUAAGGCUUGAGUCCCAUCGCUCAUGCAUACAUGUGGAAUUUGACAUCUUUGCAACUGGUAAUUGGUACAUAUCUGCUUUAUCAUCAGAGACAAGAACUGUUUCACCUCUUCAUUCAUGGCUUGUUCACGAAGGAAUUCUUCAUCUGUGGUUGGCUUUGUCCACUCAACCAACCUCUUCAGGAAGAAGUACUUCACAACCUUGUGAUUAAUCGGGGAUGGAAGGUGGAGACAAAUGGUUUCUGAAAGUUCAGAGAAUUUGGUAGUCAGAUGAAUCCCUGCUGUAGUACCAGCUCUUCUGUGCAACUCUUUUUUAAAUUGCUUCAACUUUCCUGCAGUCCCUGGUAUCGUUGCCCUCGCAAAAGAAUAUCUAGUUAAAAAGGAUGCCAACUCGGCUGCAACCUGGUCUGCCCUCUCUUGGAAGUGUUUUUGGUCCAUCUGUACGACUGUGUUGUUGCCUUUGCUGCAAGUAUCCUUUAUGGGAGGAGCUAAGUUCGAUUCCUAUAUAUACAGACAUAGGGUCCCUGCUCUGUCAAUCACAAGCUAUUAAUCAACUCAGCCCCAUCAGUGAGUUUAGUAUCAAGGAUUGAUCAGAGGAGAAGAUUCACAAUGUCGCAUCAAGAUGAAAAACUGGAGACCACAUGCGUGUUUAUGCAGAUAUAUGUAAUGACACAGUUGAAGAAGCUGAAAAGUUUUUGGGUCAACCUUUACAUUUUCUGUUCUCAUUUACACUGACUGUACUGAUGGGACAUCCCUUGGAAGCUCAUUGUCACCUCCUUUCCCUGGUCCUUGCACACUCGGAACAUCAUUGGCACCUACAAAGUGUGAUUUGUUGAACCCACCUAAAACGUGGUCUAAGUCCAAUCGGCAGAAUUCAGAGAGUUGUGUUACUUCUGGAUGAAGGUAAAAUGCGUAAAUCAAUAUGCAAGGUGGUCUUUUGGCAUUUCGGUACUGUUUUCAUAAAGCUUUUGAUACUUUGAAAAUGGUGUAUGCGACCAGACGAAACGGACUAUUCGGAGGUUUUUUGUUUGGGUGUUGAAAGCAAAUGACGGUUGAUGGUGCUGGAAAAUUUGCUGGGUUUAAAACACAUGUUAUUAACUGGACUGGACUGGAAUUGAUUUCGGAGGGUUCAGAUAUCGGUACGGGCAAACAAAGAAAUGUCAACUGCAAUACAAGACAUUCCGGAGGUUCAGAUUUAGGGCUGAUUGUUUUGUAAUAUCAAUAAUAUAUACACUUACCAUGGUGAGCCGGAUGAAAAUUAAUUGGUGGACAAUGUCACUACCAUUUCAAUUGGUUCACAAAAGAACCUUGUAAAAGAGUGAGAAUGAGUUGGAUACUAAAGUAUUUUGGAAGAUCAAGAACAUCAGAACUUGGAGGCAAUUGUCCUCUCAAAAAGUUGGCAUUUGGAAUUGGGCAGUGUAUUCCAAAAACACCUUCAUAUGUCAACAGAAAUAUCUACUUUUCUGA